rnacentral:rRNA from 1 species
AGGAUUCCCCUAGUAACUGCGAGUGAAGCGGGAAAAGCUCAAAUUUAAAAUCUGGUAGUCUUUUGGCUGCCCGAGUUGUAAUCUAGAGAAGCAUUAUCCGCGCUGGCACGUGUACAAGUGUCCUGGAAUGGACCAUCAUAGAGGGUGAGAAUCCCGUCUUUGACACGGACUCCCAGGGCUUUGUGAUGUGCUCUCAAAGAGUCGGGUUGUUUGGGAAUGCAACUCUAAAUGGGUGGUAAAUUCCAUCUAAAGCUAAAUAUUGGCGAGAGACCGAUAGCGAACAAGUACCGUGAGGGAAAGAUGAAAAGAACUUUGGAAAGAGAGUUAAACAGUACGUGAAAUUGCUGAAAGGGAAACGCUUGAAGUCAGUCGCGUCGGCUGGGGAUCAACCUUGCUUGCUUGGCUUACUUCUCCAGCUUGACGGGUCAGCAUCAGUUUUGACCAGUGGAUAAAGGUUGAGGGAAUGUGGCACCUAGGUGUGUUAUAGCCCUUGGUCAUAUACAUUGAUUGGGACUGAGGAACUCAGCAAACUCUUGUGCUUAGGAUGCUGGCAUAAUGGCUUUAAGCGACCCGUCUUGAAACACGGACCAAGGAGUCUAACAUGCCCGCGAGUGUUUGGGUGGAAAACCCGAGCGCGUAAUGAAAGUGAAAGUUGAGAUCCCUGUCGCGGGGAGCAUCGACGCCCGGACCAGACCUUUUGUGACGGAUCCGCGGUAGAGCGUGUAUGUUGGGACCCGAAAGAUGGUGAACUAUGCCUGA